CCUGAGGCACAGAAAGGGGGGGGGGGGGGCGUAGCCCACGCUCAGCUGUCGGCCCACAGCACGACGUCCCUGAGCCCCCGUACCCCUGCACCCCGCCCCCGUGUCAGCCGAGAGAAGACAAUGCCCCAAAUCCAGGUAGAUACAGCGCUGGGGCUCAGACCACCACCGGUGACUCCGGGAAGGGCCCCCGAUGCCUGCCCUGCCCCUCAGGCCGAAAACCCACGUCAGCCUCCGCUGCCGUCUCCCCCUCGCUCGCUGCUCCUCCACCCACGGACAGAGUCCUCUCCCAUCGUCACCCCAGCAGCGGUGGCUCGCAGCGUGGCUGAAGCGGCCCCAAGGCUCCGGGUUCGCGUCGCGACCUUCCGGGGCGCACCCCGCACACCUCGCAUCUUCGCCCCCAACCUCCCCACGCAGACCCACGUUUCACAAAGGGACCGCGCGCUGACGCAGCUUUGUGACACAAGAUGCAACUCUUGAACAAGGAAACACCUUUGUCUCAAAAUUCCGACAGUAUCUAGGGUUCCCGGGGCCGAGAGAAGCGUGUGUGGCCCACGGCGCCACACCGACCUGGCCGGCUGCACAGCUGCCCCACCAAGGUGCCUGCCAUGAGCUGCGCUGAAGGCGCCUGGGUUUGUGAGCCUUCGACAGAGUAAGAAGUAUCGUUUAUGCGGGUGGGAAAUCAGGACAGCAAGCAAACUUUUUCUUGAGAUGGACCAGAGAACAGGUGCUCCAUAUCCUCAUUAGGCAGGAGCAGCGGCAUUCCUGUUCUUUCUAGGGCUUUCUCCGGACGCCCACGUUCAUGUUUUACAUGUGGAUGUGGCGUCAGGGCAGGUGGCAUAGCGGAUAUGGCCUAAAAUACACGCGGCUUCACCAAACACCAAGCCGCAGGAGACCAAAGCCUGUCACGGGCCAGCACCCCGGGUCCCCGGCCGAGGCCGGCACCGUUCUGGCCCCGAGUGAAAGGAGCCAAGGCCACGCACGCUGCUGGGGGGGGAGCGUGCAGGCAAGACGCCCGGAGGCAGGGAGGACAGAGAGGAGGUCCCCAUCACUACGCCCUCAUGCAUUUGCAGGCAGGAAGGCCCCAGCCGGGGAGCAGCCACGCCAAGAACGGCAGGAAGGAGACCUGGGGCUCUUGUCUUGGGGAGGAUGCCUCUAGGCAGAAGGGGGGCAGAAGACAGCAAAGAUGAAGGCAGAAAAGGAGGGAAGCGGUCGGCGGAGGCGGCAGGGCCAGCUCACGCAGCUGCUGGAGCGUCGUAAGGCGAGCCGCCUCCGAGGGACACUCCCCCCCCCCCCCCCCCCCCCCCCCCGCCACCCUGCCACUUCCGCGGGCAAGGACACAGUGAACUGACAGGGCUGGGUCAUAAAGGACUCUGUGGUUCCUGCUUUGCUUGGGCCACUCGCUCUGAGGUGUCGGCCGUCAUGCCGUGAGGGCACUCAAGCCAGCCACGGUGAGGGUCAGAUGGGGACAACCACCAACCUGCCUGCCGUCUGGCUCCCUUGAAGCACAGAGUUUUGGGAUAACCGGUCACACGGCGACAGAGGGCCGGUGCCCUAGGAGAGCAGCGGCAGGGCCUGCCUCGGGGAGCAGGACUCCGCCGAGGGGGACGUUUCGACGGAGGCGCAAGAGCAAACAGGAGGGUCAGACUCGGGACCGGAAGGGCAGCGGCAGGUGUGCGUGAAGAGGGACGCCAAGAGAGGAGUCGGGGGUCAAUGAAAACUUGUGGUGGCCGGAGCGUGCACCGGGCCGGUUCUGAGACCGGGAACGGGGGGGCGGGGCGCAGAGUCUCUGGAGGGGGGCCUGGGCCCUGCGGGGCGGGCAGCUCCGCGCAGGCCAGUGAACGUCCGCGGGGCCCGUUCGCGCAGUCGGCCCAAGGCCUGAACCUGGACUUGAGGAAGGGCUCUGGGCUGGAGCUAUCUGGGGCUGCUGUCCCAGGAUCUCCCCAUAGUAUAGACCUUCUGAAUCAAUUUCCAAUUUCUUCGUAACAUGCGAUCAUGCCACGGUUAUCUGUGUUUGUAAACGACCCGAGAGCCCCCCACCCCUGUCCCGUUCCCUGUGCUCAGGACGGUUCACGUGUGUCAUCUGUGGUGCUUGAAAACGACAAGGGUUAAAAGGAGCAGAAAUGUGAUUAUUGGAGGAAAAAAAGGAAGUAAGAGACAGUUU